GCAUUAGGGAAUAUUGGUCAACGGGUGCCAGCCUGAACCAGCCAUGCCGGAAGCCGGAAGAGGGCUUUAGGUGUUUUAAACUGGUUUAGUCAGGGGAUAAAAUUUCCGUGCGAGGAAAAUUGAACGUACCUGAUGAAUAAGCCACGGCUAACUACGUGCCAGCAGCCGCGGUAAUAGGUAGGUGGCAAGCGUUGUCCGGAUUUAUUGGGUUUAAAGGGUGCGUAGGCGGCUUAUUAAGUCAGUGAAGAAAUAUCCUGGCUUAACCGGGAGGGUUUCAAAGAUACUGGUGGGAUUGAGUACAGAGGAGGUAGGAGUAAUUGACGGUGUAGCGGUGAAAUGGUUAGAUAUAGUCAAGAACACCUAUAGGGAAGGCCCCUUGGUAGGCUGUAACUGUCGUUGAG
rnacentral:rRNA from 1 species